rnacentral:rRNA from 1 species
AUUGAACGCUGGCGGUAGGCCUAACACAUGCAAGUCGAACGGCAGCACAGAAAUAGCUUGCUCUUACGGGUGGCGAGUGGCGGGCGGGUGAGGAAUAUAUCCGAAUUUACUUUUUCGAGGGGGAUAACGUAGGGAAUCUUACGCUAAUACCGCAUACGACCUACGGGUGAAAGCAGGGGAUCUUCGGACCUUGCGCGAUUGUAUGAGCGGAUGUCGGAUUAGCUAGUUGGGGGGGUAAAGGCCCACCAAGGCGACGAUCCGUAGCUGGUCUGAGAGGAUGAUCAGCCACACUGGAACUGAGACACGGUCCAGACUCCUACGGGAGGCAGCAGUGGGGAAUAUUGGACAAUGGGCGAAAGCCUGAUCCAGCCAUGCCGCGUGUGUGAAGAAGGCCUUCGGGUUGUAAAGCCCUUUUAUUGGGGAAGAAGAGCAGUAAGUUAAUACCUCGCUGUUUUGACGGUACCCAAAGAAUAAGCACCGGCUAACUUCGUG